rnacentral:rRNA from 1 species
GACGAACGCUGGCGGCGUGCUUAACACAUGUAAGUCGAACGGAAAGGCCCUGCUUUUGUGGGGUGCUCGAGUGGCGAACGGGUGAGUAACACGUGAGUAACCUGCCCUUGACUUUGGGAUAACUUCAGGAAACUGGGGCUAAUACCGGAUAGGAGCUCCUGCUGCAUGGUGGUGGUUGGAAAGUUUCGGCGGUUGGGGAUGGACUCGCGGCUUAUCAGCUUGUUGGUGGGGUAGUGGCUUACCAAGGCUUUGACGGGUAGCCGGCCUGAGAGGGUGACCGGCCACAUUGGGACUGAGAUACGGCCCAGACUCCUACGGGAGGCAGCAGUGGGGAAUAUUGCACAAUGGGCGGAAGCCUGAUGCAGCAACGCCGCGUGCGGGAUGACGGCCUUCGGGUUGUAAACCGCUUUCGCCUGUGACGAAGCGUGAGUGACGGUAAUGGGUAAAGAAGCACCGGCUAACUACGUG